rnacentral:rRNA from 1 species
CCUACGGGUGGCAGCAGUGAGGAAUAUUGGUCAAUGGCCGGAAGGCUGAACCAGCCAAGCCGCGUGAAGGACGAAGGUGCCAAGCAUUGUAAACUUCUUUUGUCAAGGGACAAAAUCAGGCUCGAGAGCCUGACCGAGGGUACUUGAAGAAAAAGCAUCGGCUAACUCCGUGCCAGCAGCCGCGGUAAUACGGAGGAUGCGAGCGUUAUCCGGAUUUAUUGGGUUUAAAGGGUGCGUAGGCGGGCUGUUAAGUCAGCGGUAAAAGCCCGGGGCUCAACCCCGGCGAGCCGUUGAAACUGGCUGUCGUGAGGUGUCGAGAGGUAUGCGGAAUGCGCAGUGUAGCGGUGAAAUGCUUAGAUAUUGCGCAGAACUCCGAUUGCGAAGGCAGCAUACCGGCGGCGAUCUGACGCUGAGGCACGAAAGCGUGGGUAUCGAACAGGAUUAGAUACCCGAGUAGUC